rnacentral:lncRNA from 1 species
AGCAGCCUUCCUCUAUUCACAAGCUCGAAGAUGAGCUUUGGAUCACGAGAUGAGGGACUAACGUCCUGAAGCUUUAUAACAAGCCGUGUCUUUCUCAUUGAAUUUCAGACCGUUUCCAGUGAUCUUUUGGACUCCAAACAGAUAAAAUCAUGUUCUACUCUCCUGUAGCUUCAUUUUGGUAUAUGGAUCGUGAAAUGUGGUGGAGAAAUGAGUAAGAUUUGGACUUUGAAAAUCUUCCAGAAAUCUGACGAGUUUCCCCAGAUCUCAGUGACUAUGACGACGGAGGGCGACGGACCGCAACAGCGACCAAAGAGUGAUAGAAGACACAGUAAUAUAUUCCUUAGCUCUCAGAAUCUUCCGUUAAUGAGGUAAGGUAUAUAUCUUGAGGUUUCAUUAGCUUUAAUUGAAUAUUCCAACCGAUCUUAAGCGCGAGACGGUAUUUUGAUGCCUAAAACCCAAAAUGUUGCCCUAAAUCCGUUUUGGGCAUCCGUUUAGCAAAAUUCCAUUGUUUUAACGUAGUUUUAUGGUUGACUGCCACUUAAACUUGUAAUUGGCAAAGAUUCGAUCGUCGGAUCAAAACAAAAUUUUAAUAUGUUGUUAUAGAAGCAUAGUGAGACAUUAAAGGAAGUUACAGAUUGGAAAUCCAAUGUGUGGAUCUUUCAAAUUGAGUUACGUAGGGUUGUUUUCCCUACCUUUGAUAAUUGACCGACUAUUGACUUUUGGUCAAUGUGUCCCGAAUCCAUCAAGAUUGUCUCAAAGGACGUGUACAACGUAAAAUUAUGUGUUUUAUCGAUAAAAUUUAGAGACAAAACUUGUGAUUUGUUUUAGGCGACGAACAUAUGUGAUGCCUCAUUCUUUGUGCUAGGAGCCGUAGCACAGACUCCAGGUGAGUAACUUUAAUAUAUGUGAUAUCAAGAAUACCCAUGAAAUCCCCAUGCUAGUAUACUUAGGGGAUAUUGCAUUGAUUUAUACAUAUGUUUUAUAUUAAAUUGUUAUUUUUAAAUUCUACCAUCGAUCUAUUUUAUGAAAAAUUAUUUGAAAUGAAUAUUUGAAAUGUUUGUGAAACGUGAGGACUAGUAGAGGUCCAUUAACCCAUUGUCAUGGAUAAUUUUUGCAUUGAACUUGUGCCAUUUCUUGUCUCUUUGACCUAUUGUAAACUGAGUUCCUUGAAUUCGGGGUUUCGUUGAGUGGUCCAGAAUCGAGUUUUGCUGGGGUUCCGUUGACUGGUCUCGAAUCCCUCAUACUCUACGAUUCUGUUGAGUGGUCUGGAAUCGUAUCUUGUUCAGAUUCCGUUGAGUGGUCUAAUCUCUCCUCAUACUAUGCGAUUCUAUUGAGUGGUCUAGAAUUGUAUCCUAUUCGGUUCCUUAAGUGGUCCCGAACCCAUUUUUCAUUGAAUUUCUUUGAGUGGUCCGAAACCGCAUUCCUUGUCUUGAUUGGUUCGUUGAUUUCUUUGAAUUGGUAUAGAAUGUGAAAGCUUGGGUGAUGUAGGCUUCAGCCAAAUUAUGUCACACUAGAUCUAGUUUUCAGCGUAUUUAUGAAUGAUAUACUUGAAAACCUUUGUGGUUUGAUUGUAAAAAGGUCGAUGGAUGUCUAUGUGACUCUUUAAGGAUUUAUAACGAAUUGUUAUAAUUUUUUGAAGAAUGGAUUUAUAUUUAAUGUUUAUAACUAUGAGCAAUGGAUUUAUUUUAUGAUUAUCACAUACAUUGGAUUAUUGUCACUUACACGAGUUUUGCAGCUAUUUAGAUUGUUGAUUUAUCCGAGUCACCAUUCCUAAUGUGUAGGGGCGAUUGUGUAGGACACAGAUCUUAGUUGAUACGAGGACCUUUUGGGGGUAGCAGUGGUAAGGGAGGUUGGAGCAAUUACAUUAUUCUUGUACCAUUCCUGGUAUUUCUUUCGACUUUCUUUUUUGCAUCAACUUUGUUGUACAUUUAUUGUAUUUGUGAUAGAGAACCCACCACCAUACUUGUAUUUGAGAAUUUUAGUAUCAAUAUUCCUUUGCGUAUAUUCUUUGUAUUUCCUCGCACCCAUGCACCCAAACGUCACACGUCGAUCCUUGACGUAUGUCAAUAUCGAGAUGUGACAUAAGUAUGAAGGUGAGCCAAUGUCAUAUGCCCAAGAGAGUUAUUAUUUUUUUCAUUUUUUAAAUGCGUUGAUAUAUUAUCUUUAUGUUAUAAAAUAGACAAGUCAUAAUAAUUUAGAGCAUGUGUGGAGCUAAAAAUAAUCCCAAAACUCCACAAGGUGACACGCAGACUUUUAUUUAAGAAAUACAAGAUUUCCCUCAUUAAAUGGGCAAGGCUCUCAGGUGUUCUCAUGCGCAACUCAGCUUCCUUGGAAGUUCAAG